GACGAACGCUGGCGGCGUGCUUAACACAUGCAAGUCGAACGAGGUCCAUGGAGCUUGCUCCGGAAGACCUAGUGGCGAACGGGUGCGUAACACGUGAGAAACCUGCCCCAGACUUGGGAAUAACAGUCGGAAACGACUGCUAAUACCGAAUACCUUCGGAGCGUCGCAUGGCGCAUCGAAGAAAGCUUUUGCGGUUUGGGAGGGUCUCGCGGCCUAUCAGCUAGUUGGUGAGGUAACGGCUCACCAAGGCAUCGACGGGUAGCUGGUCUGAGAGGAUGAUCAGCCACACUGGGACUGAGACACGGCCCAGACUCCUGCGGGAGGCAGCAGUGGGGAAUAUUGCACAAUGGGCGAAAGCCUGAUGCAGCAACGCCGCGUGCGGGAAGAAGGCCUUAGGGUUGUAAACCGCUUUCAGCAGGGAAGAAGAUGACGGUACCUGCAGAAGAAGGUGCGGCCAACUACGUGCCAGCCGCCGCGGUAAGAC
rnacentral:rRNA from 1 species